rnacentral:tRNA from 1 species
CGGAGCGUAGCGCAGCCCGGUAGCGCACUUGACUGGGGGUCAAGGGUCGUGGGUUCGAAUCCCGCCGCUCCGACCA